rnacentral:rRNA from 1 species
AAUGGGCGCAAGCCUGAUCUAGCCAUACCGCGUGAGUGAUGAAGGCCUUAGGGUCGUAAAGCUCUUUCGCCAGGGAAGAUAAUGACUGUACCUGGUAAAGAAGUCCCGGCUAACUCCGUGCCAGCAGCCGCGGUAAUACGGAGGGGACUAGCGUUGUUCGGAAUUACUGGGCGUAAAGCGCACGUAGGCGGACCAGAAAGUAUGGGGUGAAAUCCCAGGGCUCAACCCUGGAACUGCCUCAUAAACUCCUGGUCUAGAGUUCGAGAGAGGUGAGUGGAAUUCCGAGUGUAGAGGUGAAGUUCGUAGAUAUUCGGAGGAACACCAGUGGCGAAGGCGGCUCACUGGCUCGAUACUGACGCUGAGGUGCGAAAGCGUGGGGAGCAAACAGGAUU